AGUUGGUCCUUAUUGUCAAAUCUGUAAAAAAAUGAAGUAUUGUAUAGGGUAAUUCAAACAAUAAAAAAAGAAGUGAGUGAUGGAUAUCAUUGACUCACUCACCUAGUUGUGCAUAUCACUGUUUUGUGAAAAAUAAGCGAAACUUUAAAAUGUCAUAACUUAUUUUAUUUUUACAUCCGAUUUUGAUUAAUUUUUCAGCACUAUGCGAGUUUGAUUUUUCUGUUUAUUCAUAUCAGCAUUUUCCUGUGGUGGACCUGACCUUUAAGAGCAAGUCGCCCGCAAGGCUUGCACGGAACGAUGUGACAGGUCCUUUAUUAUUAGACUGAACUCAUCUAGGGCCUAAACUCAUCCUUUGUCUACUGUUCAGUCAAUUGUGCCAAGAUUGGAGAACAAGAUGAGAAAAAAAAUUAAAUAAGAAGACAAUAAUAAACUGCUUGUAUGUAUAAUCACCUUUCAUUUGAAUUCCUAAAUCACAUACUGAUUUGAUUUUCUAUAAUACUGAAUCUUGAGGAGAAAGUGGGAUGGAGGCCAGAAGAUGAAUAUAUUGUGGGUUUUUUUUUGUUUUUGAGAUUAUGGUUCGAAGGAGGUCGCACAUUUUUAGCUGGUAUCUUAAUUGAAAAGGGCUUUACUUUUGAUAAUGUUAACAAUUCAAGAGACGGUAGCCUGUAUUGGUUUUAGAAGUAGAAGAAUAAAACCAAAGGUUGUAGAUCAGCAACCUUUUGCCCUUCCAACCCAAUGGAAAUCUCAUUUUAAAGCUGAAUAAUGUGGAAAUCAAUAUUUUUUACAAAAGCAUGCACUUAAAAUUGCAGUAAGUAUGUAUUACACAAUGAAAUAUAGGGGGCAGAGAAGAAUGGGAAUAUGUGUACCGACCAUCAUUCAAAAUUUCAAGUGGGAUUUUUUUUCACAUCGAAAAGUUUCUUGUAACAUUUUUCUAAGAAUGGAAUAACGAAUAAUUUCUGAAGACGUUGAUUUCAUUACAUCAUCUAUUACAUUUACACAUAAUAUUGCUAUCUAUGGAAGACUGGAGCACCAUUUACCUUAAAACUAAUAAAAUAAUGAUAAAGAGCAUUUAUAUGGUCAGCUACUAUAGCAAAUAUAUCCUGUGAAAUAGAUCUUUUUCAAGUUUUAAACAUUAACUCCUGGCGAUUCCUGUAUAGUUAUUUGAUUUAAUACAUGCAGUGGGUUUAAACUUCUUUUUAAUUAAAAGAAAAUAUAUCCUAUGAAAUAAAUCUUUUUCAAGUUUUAAACAUGAACUAUUGGCGAUUCCUGUAUAAAUAUUUGAUUUAAUACAUGCAGUUGGUUAAAACUUUUUUUAAUUAAAAGAAGGUGAAGAUGCCUACACUUAAGCAUUUAAUUUUGUCCUUUUUGACCAUGCUGUCAGGUGCGACUCAUUUCUUUCUUUUCUUUGACAGACCCCUCAGUUCUUUUGCUGUUUAAAACCAAUCAACAUUCUUUGAUUCUCUACUGCAGGCCCAUCUUGGAAGCUACACUUGAUAUGCAAAUUAACCUCUUACAGAACAUGUAUGCUAGCUUGAGCGAUUUUGAAUGGAAGUGUGUGAGCUGAUGUGUGGAGUAGGUUAGAGUGAGAGGGGUUGCUUUACUUGUAUAGCAGUGUUAAUUCAAUUUUGGAGAGAGAGGACUGGUGUCUUCCUUUUGGCCUGUAUUCACAAGUCAAGUUAGACGCUUUUGCGAAUGAGGCCCUUCUCCUUUCUUGGUGGGAACAACACUAGAAAUUGUGAACACCUGUUACCUCUGUGAAACAGCAGGCCUACUAUCAAUUAUCCCAUCUUGAUGUAAAUCAAGUGGAGUAAGUCUGCCCUGGAGUGCACAUCACCAUCCAUGUGACCUGUUCAGCGAGGAAUGGAGCAGGUUUUCAUCGGGAGGUGAUGCUGAUGGGUCAGGUGAUUAGGAGAAUGUAGCUUGGAAGGCAUCCACAGACGGUUACUGUAUCUGAUGAUGGUGAGAUCGGGUCUGGGGCCAUUGUUGAACGGCCAAUUCAAGUUCCCACUUGAGAGGAGUAUAGGGUAUAUGGAUGGUGGACUUUGAUCGAUGAACUAGGCUAGCCGAUUCCAUGGUUGGAAGGAUCACCCGAUGCAGUCUCAUCGUGGAAGAGGGACGAUCAAGGAUCCAGUUGGUCUUCCUCCUGCUCGAGCCCCAGGGAAUUUAUGUUACAUGGCAGGAAUAUUCCCAAAUAUGUUAAAGACUAUGCUGAAUGGAUCAGCCAAAUUGGUUCACUUUCUACUUAUGCCAAUGACAUACAGAUUUGAGGGGGGGGGGAUGAAAAGUAAAGGGAAAAAAACAAAUAUGAAACAUUUUUUUUUUAUUCUGUCAAAUCUAUCACAAAAAAAAAGGAAUUUUAAGUUUCAAAAUUUUGACCCAGACACCAUUAUGGUUGUUCUCACCGUUUUGUUUUCCUUUUUAUUGUAUGAAUUCUUCAACAUUUUUCACUUUUAGAAGGAGACUCUGCAUUGACAAUAAGGCAGUAAGAACCCUUUUGAAUGAACUACAUAUAGUUGAAACAAUGACAUGGAGGAACUUUUUAUGACAUUAUGAUACAGAGACAAAUAAAAUAUUUCAUUUUAAAUAUAAUAAAAUACAAAAGAAAUAGUGA